UUGUACAGCAUCCAAGUGGAGAGAGAAUAAUGGUCAUCAUGUUGAUUAUGAUCAACGGCCCGAUAUCUUUAGGGGAACAAUUAGAUAUGCGAGUGUCCAUGCUCAUUUGGGGUGCACUGGUAGUAGGAGGGAUGAUUUAGAGUUACUGGCAUACACCCUUAUUUUCCUGAUAAGAGGCAGAUUACCUUGGCAAGGCUACCAGGGAGAUACCAAGAGUUUCCUUGUUUGCAAGAAGAAAAUGGCUACAACUU